rnacentral:rRNA from 4 species
GGGUUGUGAGGUUAAGCGACUAAGCGUACACGGUGGAUGCCCUGGCAGUCAGAGGCGAUGAAGGACGUGCUAAUCUGCGAUAAGCGUCGGUAAGGUGAUAUGAACCGUUAU